GUUCGUUCAGAAGUAUGUAACUGAACGUCAAGUUCAGUUUUGUAAUAAAUAUAUUGUAAUAUCAAAAUAAACAAAUAACCAUAAAAUCAAAAGUGUUAAACCCUUCUACCAACUGCUUUUACUAUUAUUAUUGAACUUUUAUUAUUCCGUUAUCUAAAACUGUUAAAAUCAUCUUUGGAAAAUGGUGUGGAGUUAUAGUUUCUAAACGUACCUACUUUGUGUCAUGUCAUUGUCAAUCAACAGCGCGCGCCGCGCUUUAAGUUUGUUUUCGCCGUUUUGAACUUAAACCUAAUAUAAUAAAUACUUUUAACUAACAAUACAAAUACUUAGAAUUGCAGCUGUAUUUGUAACCGGUCAAAGAUAACGGUCUUUCAUUAACAAAGAAAGUGCAUCACACACACUUACUAACAGGUCCAGAGAGGGAUGAAGUGGCUGCAAGGAUUUAUCCCAGUAAGUUGCCACAGCGAGCCCUGGUCUGCACAAACUGUUUGGCUCAAGCACGAGAAGAUCUUCAAAUAGAACAAGGCCAUAGUAACAUAGGUCAAGUGACAUCAUAUUAUGCAACAAUGACCUGGACAACUUCCAGCAUACUACAAAUUCCAGUGGCCGUUGUUUUGUACCGGGGUGUCAAAAUCCAGAAUGUUUUAUAGUUCCUGACUAUUUAAACGCAAGAAUAUUAAAAAGCCAAAAAAAUACUUGUUAUGGAAAAUUCAAGAAUUUGUGCGGAGCAUAAAUCUGUAUAUAAUUGGGAAUUUCUGGACCAGUACUAAUUUUCAAAAACAUUCACUAAUUUAGAAAUAUAUUUUUGAUGAGACAAGGUGUGACCUGGAAUGAAAUUAUAGUAGGAUACUACUGUAAUUGUGUUUGUAGUCUCCGUGCUGUUGGUUGCUCAUGUGAUGCCAUUGUAUGGUAUUUAGGUUGGGCUCGGCACCAAGAAAGUAUAGAAGCACCGGCACCUUUGUUGGAUGGUAUUUUAAUAAGAGAGGAUGUGGAAAACUAAUAAAUAAUUAAAUAAAGAG